rnacentral:rRNA from 1 species
UUCGGGAUGCCGGCGAGUGGCGAACGGGUGCGUAACGCGUGGAAACCUGCCCUGAGAUGGGGGACAACAGCUGGAAACGGCUGCUAAUACCGCAUAAGCCCUACGGGGGAAAGACGCAAGUCGUCUUGGGAGGGGUCCGCGUCGGAUUAGCUUGUUGGCGAGGUAAUGGCUCACCAAGGCGAUGAUCCGUAGCUGGUCUGAGAGGACGAUCAGCCACACUGGGACUGAGACACGGCCCAGACUCCUACGGGAGGCAGCAGUGGGGAAUAUUGCGCAAUGGGGGAAACCCUGACGCAGCGAUACCGCGUGGGUGAAGAAGGUCUUAGGGUUGUAAAGCCCUUUCAGUGGGAACGAUGAUGACGGUACCCACAGAAGAAGCCCCGGCUAACUCCGUGCCAGCAGCCGCGGUAAUACGGAGGGGGCGAGCGUUGUUCGGAAUUAUUGGGCGUAAAGAGCGCGUAGGCGGCUUGUUAAG